UACGUAGGGGGCAAGCGUUGUCCGGAAUCAUUGGGCGUAAAGCGCGCAGGCGGUCGUUCAAGUCGAGUGUGAAAGCCCCCGGCUCAACUGGGGAGGGUCACUCGAUACUGAUCGACUCGAAGGCAGGAGAGGGUAGUGGAAUUCCCGGUGUAGUGGUGAAAUGCGUAGAUAUCGAGAGGAACACCUGCGGCGAAGGCGGGUUGCUGGGCUGACACUGACGCUGAUGCGCGAAAGCCAGGGGAGCGAACGGG
rnacentral:rRNA from 1 species